ensembl:lncRNA
GUCUUUCCGGCGGAAGCUGCAGACGGCGAGUAUUGCAGCGGCAAAGCCUACACACACUGGGUUGAAAAGAGCUUCUCUUAUUCAGCGUUACAUGUCCUCUUGAACACAGACAUGUAUCGCCCGGGUGAACCUGUUCGCCAGGCGCCUCCACCGCUGCCGUUCGGACCUCCACCGCCUCACGGCCCUCCUUUUAGACUCACAGGGCCCUGCUCUGUUCCUCCUCCUGGACACUUACCCCCCAGGCCCUGUGGACCAUAUCCCGGCGCGGCACGAGAUUAUCUCCACAACAGACCGUCGAGUGGGCAUUUCGUUCGUCUGUGCCAGGGCUCUGCUCCGAUUGGUGCGUGGAUACACCGCCCCGACGUGACUGGUUCCAGCUGGAGGACCCGCCCAUUAAAAGGAGGCUGGAGUGCUACGGCGGGAGAGGUCCUCGCGUUUCUCCUCAUUACCCAGCAGUGUAACUGUGGCAGCCGCUGGCUGCAGUGCGGCUUGAAAGUGUUGGAAGUGGAGUGGGUAGGGGUGAGCUGCCGUUUCUUUUGAUC